AAAAACUCAAUUUCUGGGUUUCCCUGUCUAAUGUUUGACCGUUUGUCUUAUUUAAAAAAAUUAUGAAAAAAUUUAAAAAGAUAAUUCAUGCAUAAAGUAUUAUUCGUGUUUUAUCAUUUAACAAUAAUAAAAAUAUUAAUCAUAAAAUAAUUUUAUAUAAGACGUAACGUUAAACGUUAGACACGGAAACCAACAAUUCAGUUUUUU
rfam:Oryza glaberrima chromosome 8 Oglab08_0128_35, whole genome shotgun sequence.